AGUGUAAGUAGUCGCCAUGUUUCUGUCGCUAUCACUUUCUUGGGGGUGUCACUGAUCACUGGCUAUUGCGACUACCAGACGCUCUGGACACUUGGAACGCUCCUGAGUUUGCGGCUGGGUCCACUUCCUGAAUGAUACUAGGAUCCCCGCCUCUGGUUUCUUUUGGCUGCCCCCGAGCUACCUCAGUCUUUUUCAAUGUCAGGCGGUCCAAGUUCCCUGUGGUGAAAAUGGAGCCCAGUGAGUCGUGCCCAUGGCAGCGCACCUGGUUUUGCAGCCUGGGCAGGUCACAGGUGCAUCUUCCACGGGGAUUUGAGCCAGCGUGCACCCCCAUAGCGCGACUGAGAUUCCAAGUCACACCCAGGUUUUGGCCUCGCAAAUCCGCCUCUGCUCCCAGCUGGCACCUGAGUAUGCAGGUCGCAGCCCGCGAUUUAGAAACACCGGCACCCGGGUGAACGCCCACGGCUCCUCAGCUUUCGCUGCACCGACGUCUGCACCACGCCCGUCAAGCUCAGCUGCAUCCUGACUCUGGGUUGGAAACUUCGUGGUGGAUGAUGCCUGUAACUACCCAGAUGAAAUCAAGACGCAACAGCCCUCAUCGAGGGAUGCUCAGGUCCUGUAACAAGAAUCAGCAUGUAAACUUCCAGGAAGAAAAAAGCUGUUGGAAUUUUUUUUUUUUUUUCAGGUGGAGUCUCGUUCUGUCACCCAGGCUGGAGUACAGUGGUGCUAUCUUGGCUCACUGCAACUUCCGCCUCCCGGGUUCAAGCGAUUCUCCUGUCUCAGCCUCCCAAGUAGCUGGGAUUACAGGCACGUGCCACUAUGCCUGCCUACAGACUUUGAUUUUGAUUGCACCAAAUCUAUACCUCAUUUAAGGAGAAUCACUUAUUAAAGAUAUUAAGAAAUCCAAUCCAUGAGCAUGGAAUAGCUCUGUUUAUUUCAAAAUUCUUGAAUUUAUUGCAGCAAUGUUUUGUAACUGUCAGUGUUAAGAUCUUGUACACUUUUAUUAGAUUUAUUCCCAAGUAUGGGUCUUUCCUGACCCAUCUUAUUUAAUUGAAUUUGGUUUACUUCCACUCAGUGCCUCAAUUUGGCUAUUGAUGUUGAAGUCAAUAAAUAUGGAGCAUCUCCUCUGCGCAGGGCUCUGUGCUAGAUGCAGAGUGUAUGGCAAGACAUUUCUAUUGUAGUGCAGGACAUGAAAUGGACAUUGAAAGGAUAAUUAUUGAAAUACCAUCUCUUUUAAAGUGCAUGUAGGGAAAGUAAAGAUUUCAAAUGGGAGUUGAUAAAAGGGAACCUUGACAAAAUCUGGGGAGUGAGUGAGUGAAUGCUUCUGAGGAAGUGCUCUUUGAACUGAGUUAGUGAUGACAUAAAAGAGGACAGAGGGAUCGUGUAUGUGUGUGUGUGUGUGUGUGUGUGUGUGUGUGCAUGCGUGUGUGUUCUAAAUGUUCUUUUGAAUAGAGAAAAGGGAGGCUUUGGUGAUAGCUCUGGAGGGCAUCUGUAAUGAUUGCAAUGAAUUUAAAUAAUAGAGUAAGUGCCCCAUCACUCCGUGCCAAUUCAGGGUUUAUAUUCACUUUGCUGAACUACUAGCUCCAAGCUCUUUCUACCACAAUAAAAAUAAUCAUACAUGAGUAAAGGUCGUUCUUAAUUAAAGGCAAGGACGCUUGACCGAACUUGGGUUCAAGGCCCAUCUUAGGCAGAUUAGAAUCCUUCCUAAGACUUAAGAGGAUGGAGGCCCCUCUCAGUAAAGUCCCUCUCUAUGUGCUAAGAACAGGUUUGGCACUACAGGAUGUUAAGUGCUAUUCUCUUUGGAUUAAUCUGCCUUGCACUCUUUGCUGAUGGCUGUGGGUGACAGGAUUAGGCAUGUACAGGAUCAUGGGACAAUAGGACAUGGGGAACUUUUCUUCUCCCCAAAGGGGGAAACUUGAGAGCUGAUGGGACUGCUGGAAAAGAUUCCUUCGCAACCAAGAAGGGGCGGCCUAAACUUUUGAUUCAGUGUGGCUGCAAUGGGUGAGUCUUUCUCUGGCCUCCCUGAGUUCUUUGCCUUCCCUACCCUGCCACAGGCAAUGCUUUUCUCCCUUUCUCUCCUUUCUCUUUUCUCUCUUUUCUGUUACUCAGGACAACUGUCUGCUCCUUCAUCUUGCCCAGAGACCACAUGUUGAAAGAUGUCCUUGGGAGCUUAACCUUGUAACGAUGUGGCAGUACUUUCUCCUGGCUCUACCUUCCAGGGAACAUGAAUUUAGGGGUUCAUAUCACAGUUAACUCUAAAAACUAUCUUGAGCACUUAAAAGCCUGUGCAAGCUCAAAAUUGGCUGCUCUAGGCUCCUUCUGGGAAAAGCAGCAGAAACUGCUCAGUGCUGUAGCUCAGUAGGUAAGGCUGUGCCAUUCUCCAAUGGUGUCCUGGGUUCAAUCCUGGCUUAGGGAAUCAGUGCUUUCUGGUUUAUAUCUGUGUGACCUUCAUCAUUUGUUGAUUCUUUUCCCCUCCACCAACCAUCUUGAAUUUUCCUUUCUCGGAGCAUUUGGAAGGUUUUCCUUUGGUAAAGUUCAAAAGCCAGAAAUAUUGGCAGUUUGGCCUGGCUAAAGUUGGGUAAUAAGAAAUUUUAAAGGAUUUUUUAAGAGCACUAUGGUUAAAAGUCAGCUUUUUCAAGCUCUAGCAUCAUGGAACUCCUUGGGAAAAACAGGAAGUGCUACAGACCACGUUUUGGGAAAAACCUGUUUUCCUCAUGAAACCCUAGGAAUUAAAAGUGGAUAGAUUCCUCUCAAAAUCGAAGACUCUGUUCUGUUUCGCAUUGUGUUAUGUGAUGGUUUUGAUUUGGGGGAAUAUCAGAAAUUACUUUGCAUUAUGAGAGAACUCUGGUGUGUAAUAACUAGAUAGGAAAUAUACUUUGGUAAAUAACUAAUGGCAGUGGUUUGGGAAUAUAUGGCGCUUUGCUUUUUCUUGGAACAGAAAAGCAUGCUCUUGACCACCUAAAAAGUAUGGAAAUGCCCUUUCCCCCCACCCAGACAUAAGACUCCUAUGGGGGAUGGGUUAAUCACAGAAUGGGCUGAUUGACUUUGGGUUGCCUAGCAAUUAAAUGCAUGGUAAAAUUAUUGUACUGUCUUGUUCUAUAGCAUUUCUUUUGGGGAUCCAGGACCUGGUGUAAAAAUGAGGCCCUUAAUUUUUGGGGAUCUGUUUUUGCCUUCCAGCUGUGCCUGCUUGUUAGGCUGUAGAAACUGCAUGCUUUCCUGGCCCUGUUCCUCCAAAGGCUCCACCCUGCCAGUAAUCCAAUUAACAAACUGGCAAAUGAACAAUCUUACAACUACUGGAUCUUCUUCUGUCUGUCUGUGUAUUUACAUGUGUUGUGUGUAAUGUUUAUAUAAAAGAGCUUUAAUUAAUUGGUUUAAAAAUAAUAAGAGCUUAUAUCAAAUAUUUUCUCAGAAAAACAAAAACUAUAAUGCCUUUUAGUUCAUGUGACUUAUGUAAUCUUCAGGAAAAAAAGUUUUACAUGCAAGGUGUGUAAAAAAGUGAAAUGUGUUUUUGGUAAAAGAUUAUAAGAAGGCAUGGGAAUGUGGAUUGUUUUUGCCUAGAUUAAAGGGUUGAAGGAUUGUUUUAAGUUUUAAGAUAGAAUAAAGCUGAAGGUUUAAGCAAGUUAUGAAAGGUUUGUGAAAAAUUGAUCUUGUGAAAGAAAUUCUGUGUAUGAACAUGUUGGCUAAAGUUAAAGGGGUA
rnacentral:lncRNA from 1 species